rnacentral:rRNA from 1 species
GACGUAGGAGGCGAGCGUUAUCCGGAUUCACUGGGCGUAAAGCGCAUGUAGGCGGUUCGUCAAGUCGUGUGUUAAAGCCCCCGGCUCAACUGGGGGAGGUCAUGCGAGACUGGCGGACUGGAGGGCAGCAGAGGAACGUGGAACUCCCGGUGUAGCGGUGGAAUGCGUAGAGAUCGGGAAGAACACCAGUGGCGAAGGCGACGUUCUGGGCUGCACCUGACGCUGAGAUGCGAAAGUGUGGGGAG